rnacentral:rRNA from 1 species
GGAUUAGAUACCCUGGUAGUCCACGCCCUAAACGAUGAGAACUAGCUGUUGGGGACAUAAAAGUCCUUAGUAGCGCAGCUAACGCACUAAGUUCUCCGCCUGGGGAGUACGGCCGCAAGGUUAAAACUCAAAUGAAUUGACGGGGGCCCGCACAAGCGGUGGAGCAUGUGGUUUAAUUCGAAGCAACGCGAAGAACCUUACCAGGUCUUGACAUCCUCGGAACUUGGCAGAGAUGCCUUGGUGCCUUCGGGAACCGAGUGACGGGUGCUGCAUGGCUGUCGUCAGCUCGUGCCG